AGUGAACGCUGGCGGUAGGCCUAACACAUGCAAGUCGAACGGCAGCACAGUAAGAGCUUGCUCUUACGGGUGGCGAGUGGCGGACGGGUGAGGAAUACAUCGGAAUCUACUUUUUCGUGGGGGAUAACGUAGGGAAACUUACGCUAAUACCGCAUACGACCUACGGGUGAAAGCAGGGGAUCUUCGGACCUUGCGCGAUUGAAUGAGCCGAUGUCGGAUUAGCUAGUUGGCGGGGUAAAGGCCCACCAAGGCGACGAUCCGUAGCUGGUCUGAGAGGAUGAUCAGCCACACUGGAACUGAGACACGGUCCAGACUCCUACGGGAGGCAGCAGUGGGGAAUAUUGGACAAUGGGCGCAAGCCUGAUCCAGCCAUACCGCGUGGGUGAAGAAGGCCUGCGGGUUGUAAAGCCAUUUUGUUGGGAAAGAAAAGCAGCAGGUUAAGACCCCGCUGUUCUGACGGUACCCAAAGAAUAAGCACCGGCUAACUUCGU
rnacentral:rRNA from 1 species